GCCAGUAUAGCGGAUAUGACCUUCGGCUUAUAAUCGAGUGCGUUCGGGUUCGAAUCCCGAGUAAGGCU